GAUGAACGCUGGCGGCGUGCCUAAUACAUGCAAGUCGAGCGAACAGAUAAGGAGCUUGCUCCUUUGACGUUAUCGGCGGACGGGUGAUUAACACGUGGUUAACCUACCUAUAAGACUGGGAUAACUUCGGGAAACCGGAGCUAAUACCGGAUAAUAUUUCGAACCGCAUUGUUCGAUAGUGAAAGAUGGUUUUGCUAUCACUUAUAGAUUGACCCGCGCCGUAUUAGCUAGUUGGUAAGGUAACGGCUUACCAAGGCGACGAUACGUAGCCGACCUGAGAGGGUGAUCGGCCACACUGGAACUGAGACACGGUCCAGACUCCUACGGGAGGAAGCAGUAGGGAAUCUUCCGCAAUGGGCGAAAGCCUGACAGAGCAACGCCGCGUGAGUGAUGAAGGUCUUCGGAUCGUAAAACUCUGUUAGUAGGGAAGAACAUACGUGUAAGUAACUGUGCACGUCUUGACGGUACCUAAUCAGAAAGCCACGGCUAACUACGUG
rnacentral:rRNA from 1 species